GGGCGGUUAGCUCAGCUGGUAGAGCGCCUCGUUUACACCGANNGAUGUCGGGAGUUCGAGUCUCUCACCGCCCACCA
rnacentral:tRNA from 1 species